GGGGAACAGCAGUUGGGAUUGUGGGGACUGAGGGAAUGCUUGGCAGAGGGGGUAGUCCUGUUGGCAAUGUGGUAGGAAGUGGAGGAAGCGCCCCAGGCCAUGGGAAUGAUUGUCGGGAUGGCGUUGGGAGAUUAGAGAAAGAUGGUAAACUUCGCGGUUGAGGCUGCUGCAGAAGGUGACGAGCUGCUACCCCAACAUCAAUGCUUGCAAAUGACAAAGCAAUCAAGAAUGCUAAAGCAAGGCAAUUGAAAGAGGCCAUUUUUGUUCAGAGAUUUCGAAACAAAUGAAGCAGAUGAAACAAAGUUCUUUAUCUGAAUAGUUGUGGGUGAAGAAAACAAAGCACGGUAUUGAGGUUUAUAUAGGCAUUGGAGCAAUGAAUAGAAAUCCCCUGCCCCUAAACAAUGCCCCAUGCAUGCCCCCAAACCAAAAUAGCGCCACAUGUUUUUUAUUUUUUUCCAUUUUAGUUGUAGUUCAUUUUUUAAAUAAAAAUUUAUAAUGAUUUGGAUGAAUUUUUAACUUAUUAUCAACGUUUUUGUUUUUGUUUUAUUUUCUAUUAAUUUUACCUAUUCUUUAAUUAACAAAUUUAUAAUGACUUGGAAUUAAUUUAACAGUGUUUUUUUUUAUAAUCGUUCUUAUAAUAAAAUUUAAAAAGGUGGGAACGAGUCCCACAAUGACAACAUGAUCCAUGCCUUUAGUCAAAGGUUCAGAUAACAUCUGCUCAGUGUUAAUGUGCUCAAUGACGACUUUCUUUUCUUUAACAUAUUCCCUUAUGGCUAGAUACUUAAAAUCGAUAUGUUUACUUCGACUUUCACUUUUGUCGCUCUUAGCCAUAAAUACAGCAAUUGAAUUGUCACAAUAUAUGAAAUAAUCGAAACCUAUAAUGACUCAGCUCAAAAAACUCGAGCCUCAAACCCAAAUUAAAUUAAAUCAAAAUCAUAAUUUAUUAUAUACAAUUGCAUAAAAUUAACAUAAUUUAAGUGUCAUAGUGCACAUUAAAUUAAAGUUUAUGUUUGACAUUAUAGAUUGAAGCAAUAUUCAUGUGUAAAAUUUUGAGAUUUAUUUCCUUAAUGAAAGUAAUAUUUCAAAUAGAAUACUUGAACAAUCCUCCAUGUUGGCAAACUUUAUGUACAUUAGAAACGAACUAAAUAAUUAGAAUAAAUCUAAAGUAUGGCUUACAUUUAAUUUAUUCAUAAUGUGACUUAAACUUUGGCCUUCAAGAUUUCACGGUCUCAAAUUAUGUCUUAAAAUUUUAAGAUCAUUUUAGGUUUGUUAAAAACAUCAAUAGUUUAGAAAGUUAGAAUUGUUGCUUGAGGCGUGGAUUUCCCUAUUCUUUAGGAUAUUCGUGGAUUUACUAUCCCUCAAGAUUUAAUUUGUAUCAUGUGCAAUGAAAAAAUUGAAAAAGAAAAUUCCCAUUUGAAUGGAAUUGAGCUAUUAGGCUCAGGCCUCGUGUGCGCAUAUAUAUUCUCUUAUUUUGAGUCUUACAAGUUUAUAGUAAACCAAAUCUAUAUAAACAUCAUUUUAUAAGUGUAUCUAAGAUAUGUUUAAUAUGUGUAAUUCUUUAAAAUACAUGAAAACUUCAAAUGUGGUUUAGGUCAUUUUCAGAUUUGUCUUAUUUAGGUUCAAAUCAUUCGAAUUUGAGGCUAAGUUUUUCAUGUGUAAUCAUUAUUGAUCCGAAUCAUUUUAGAUUUUGAUCAUUUUAAGUUCUAAUUAUUUUGUGAUCAAAUCAUUUCAAGUUUAGAUAAAUUUGGGUCAAUUUUGAAUUUGACUUAAUUACGUAAUUAACCUUUUUUAUAAUAAAUUGAGCUGAAUGAACUUUAGAUUGGAAUUUAUUUAGUGUACCUUUGUGUUUAAGUUGAAAUUUAAACAUCUGUAUUAGAAAUACACAUGUUAAUACAAUUUUAUGUUAAAGACAAUAAUACGACAAAAUUAAUUUGGGAGAUAAACAUGUUAAUUUUUUAAUCCCAACCAAAAUUGUACAUAAUUGUUUUAUAUCAUAUUAAAUACAUGUAACGUCUUAUAAAAAUUGUCAAUAAAUUAUGCCUAGCGACAACGUUAUUCAAAUCUAAUUUCAUUGUUAAUACCUAUUUCUAUUUUUCUUCUAAUAUCUUCAACUUUAAAUAUAAAGGAAUUGAAAUUUUAAGAAUUGAGAUUUCUUUUCUUUAUAUUAGUGGACAUUUGAUUUUUUGUUUGAUUUUUUUUACUAGAAUUGAUGCAUAUCUUUUCAGAUUUAUCAAUAUUUUUUAAAAUUAUUUAAGAUAUGUAUAUAAAUAUAUUACAAAUAUAAAAUGAAUGAAACUAAAUACAUUUCAAAUAUAAAAUAUUCAUUAAUAAACUUAACAAAUAAAAAUUUAUCAUUCAAAGAAAUCCAAAAUUAUUAAUAAUAAUCCAUCAUUUAAUAUGAAAUUCUAAAGAUUUAGCUCAUUUACUUAAUAAAAGAAGGUGAAAGGUGGACGAAUAUUUUUUAUUUGAUAAUCAGGUAAAUGGUUUUUUCUUAAUUAUAUUUUGAAUGUGAAAGUAUAUUCCAUUUUUUUUUAAAAUUUACAUUCCGAUGUAGCGUUUUUAAUUAGUCACGUUUCAAUUAAGUUUUUAGCAUAAUAGUAAAUUAUUAAAAGUUUAAUAUUUUUAAUAUUAUUCAUGCAUAGGACGGUGCACUAUGUUCUGGCAGGUGUGACAGGAAUUGAUCGGAAUGAGUUGGUGCAAUUGGUACAGACCAAAAUUUUUACCAGUGUAGAAAAAGGGUUUUGGGUGUUUCGCAAUGUUAUUGAAACCAAACCAAACAGACCAAAAACCGAUGAACCCGAGAACUAGAGUAAACUGCAGUUAAACUGCAAAUCAUCAGCUGAUUAAGCCGCAUUUCGCAUUUUCUAGACUGGAAAACAAAAAUUUCACUUCAGAUCCCUUGAGCUUUUGUUACACUUCUUCUCUUAACUCAAAAUAAAACAAACCAUACAAAGAAUAAGCACUGUUUCUUUUAUUACUUUUUUAUUACUCAGUGAAAAACCUGGACUUAUAACAUUCAAUCAAAGGAAAAAAAAGACAAAUUAGGAAAGAUGAAAGAUGGGGAGAGGGUUUUAAAAUUCAAAGCCGUCAAAAUAGAUGAGUUUGGGGUUAUUAAUAUUAUUUUAUAUUGUUCAAUAGAAAAUUAAUUGUAUCGGUGGUUGAAUCUGUGAGAUCAAAAAUUAAUUAAUUGAUUAAUUUAAUUAUCAAUCUAAUUUUAAAAAUAUUAAUAUUUCGGUAUAAAAUUAAUACAGUGCACACAAAUUAAUAUAACCGAAAUCUGUACGAAACCGAGCACCUUAAUUUAAUACAUAAUUUGACAUUCAUAUAAAAUAUUAUCUUGGAAAUAUAUUGAAAGAGGAAAGUAAUCGUAUGUAAAUGGAUAACUUGGAAGAGAUAAUGAAGCAGGAAUCAUUAUAUUAACAGUGGCAUCUUCUCGAUGUACGGCGGCUCACUAUUUUGACUGCAUUUAUCGUUUGAUUCUUUUCUUAAUUAGCCAAACUCAUGUUAACAAUGGUAUAACAGUAAUUAAUUACUUCAUGGAUAGAACAUCAAUAUAUAAAUACCCCAUAUAUAAUAAGCAACAACGUUUCAAAAUACACCAAAUAAUGGGAAUUGGAGAACGCCCAUUUAUACAAACAAAUAUAAGUGGGCAAAAUCAAUACUCAUAAUAAAGACACAAAGACGACUAAAAACCUUAUUAAACUAGAUCCAGUAUGCAGCAUAACAGAAAAGGGGGUAUUUCAAGGAGUAGAGCGAGAAGGUGGUGGAGAAAAGAAAGGAAUAGAAGGAACUGCAGUUGGGAUUGAGGGAAUGCUUGGCAGAGGCGACAGUCCUCUUGGCAAUGUGGUAGGAAGUGGAGGAAGCGCCCCAGGGUUUGGGAGAUAAGGGAAAGAUGGCAAUGGUGGAAAAGAGAAAGGAAUAGGGGGAAUUGCAGUUGGGAUUGUGGGGACUGAGGGAAUGCUUGGCAGAGGGGGCAGUCCUGUUGGGAAUGUGGUAGGAAGUGGAGGAAGCGCCCCAGGCCAUGGGAAUGAUUGUCGGGAUGGCGUUGGGAGAUUAGGGAAAGAUGGUAAACUUUGCGGUUGAGGCUGCUGCAGAAGGUGACGAGCUGCUACCCCAACAUCAAUGCUUGCAAAUGACAAAGCAAUCAAGAAUGCUAAAGCAAGGAAAUUGAAAGAGGCCAUUUUUGUUCAGAGAUUUCGAAACAAAUGAAGCAGAUGAAACAAAGUUCUUUAUCUGAAUAGUUGUGGGUGAAGAAAACAAAGCAUGGUAUUGAGGUUUAUAUAGGCAUUGGAGCAGUGAAUAGAAAUCCCCUGCCCCUAAACAAUGCUCCAUGCAUGCCCCCAAACCAAAAUAGCUCCACAUGUUUUUUAUUUUUUUCAUUUUAAUUUUUUAAAAUAAAAACUCUGUAAUGAUUUGAAUUAAUUUUUAACUUAUUAUCAACGUUUUUAUUUUUGUUUUAUUUUUAUUUUACAUUAAUUUUACCUAUUCUUUAAUUAACAAAUUUAUAAUGACUUAGAGUUAAUUUGAGAGAUUUUUUUUUUAUAAUUGGUCUUAUAAUAAAAUUUUACAAAGCAGAAACAAGUUCCACUGUGAAAACAUGAUCCUUAAAUUUUUGGAGAUAACCAUGUUAAUUUUUUAAUCCCAACCAAAAUUCUAAAUAAUUCUUUUAUGUCAUAUUAAAUACACGUAACGUCUUAUAAAAAUUGUCAAUAAAUUAUGCAUAGUGACAAGGUUAUUCAAAUCUAAUUUCAUUGUUAAUACCUAUUUCUAUUUUUCUUCUACUGUCUUCAACUUUAAAUAUAAAGGGAUUGAAAUUUUAAGAAUUGAGAUUUCUUUUCUCUGUAUUAGUGGACGUUUGAUUUUUUAUUUUAUUUUUUUAUUGGAAUUGAUACAUAUCUUUUCAGAUUUAUCAAUAUAUUUUAAAAUUUUAUAAGAUAUGUAUAUAAAUAUAUUAAAAAUAUAAAAUGAAUGAAACUAAAUACAUUUCACAUAUAAAAUAUUCAUUAAUCAACUUAAGAAAUAAAAAUUUAUCAUUCAAAUAAUCCAAAAUUAUUACUAAUAAUCUCAUUUAAUAUGAAAUUUUAAGGAUUUAGCUCAUUUACUUAAUAAAAGUAGUUGAAAGGUGAAUGAAUAUUUUUUUUAUAAUCGGGUGAAUGGUUUUUUUCUUAAUUAUAUUUUUAAUGUGAAAGUAUAUUCUAAUUUUUUUUAAAAACUUUACAUUCCGAUGUAGCAUUUUUAAUUAGUCACGUUUCAAUUAAGUUUUUAGCAUAAUAGAAAAUAAUUAAAAGUUUAAUAUUUUUAAUAUUAUUCAUGCGCAGGACGGUGCACUAUGUUCUGGCAGGUGUGACUGGAAUUGAUCGGAAUGAGUUGGUGCAAUUGGUACGGACCGAAAUUUUUACCAGUGUAGAAAAAGGGUGUUGGGUGUUUCACAAUAUUAUUGAAAGCAAACCAAAAAGACCAAGAACCGAUGAACCCGAGAACUAGAGUAAACUGCAGUUAAACUACAAAUCAUCUGUCGAUUAAGUCGUAUUUUCACAUUCUUUAAACCGGAAAAACAAAAAUUACACUUCAAAUCCCUUGAGCCAUUGUUAUACUUUUUCUCUGCACUCAAUGAAAUAAAACACAACAUAAAAAAAAUAAGCACCAUCUCUUUUAUUACUUUUACUACUAAAAUAACUUUUUUUUUCUUGUGAAAAACCUAAGAUGGACUUAUAACAUAUAAUAAAAAGGGAAAAAAAAGACAAAUUAGGAAAGAUGAAAGAUGGGGAGAGGGUUUUAAAAUUCAAAGCCGUCAAAAUAGAUGAGUUUGGGGUUAUUAGUAUUAUUUUAUAUUGUUCAAUAGAAAAUUAAUUGUAUCGGUGGUUGAACCUGUGAGAUCAAAAAUUAAUUAAUUGAUUAAUUUAAUUAUCGAUCUAAUUUUAAAAAUAUUAAUAUUUCGGUAUAAAAUUAAUACAGUGCACACAAAUUAAUAUAACCGAAAUCUGUACGAAACCGAGCACCUUAAUUUAAUACAUAAUUUGACAUUCAUAUAAAAUAUUAUCUUGGAAAUAUAUUGAAAGAGGAAAGUAAUCGUAUGUAAAUGGAUAACUUGGAAGAUAUAAUGAAGCAGGAAUCAUUAUAUUAACAGUGGCAUCUUCUCGAUGUACGACUGCUCACUAUUUUGACUGCAUUUAUCGUUUGAUUCUUUUCUUAAUUAGCCAAACUCAUGUUAACAAUGGUAUAACAGUAAUUAAUUACUUCAUGGACAGAACAUCAAUAUAUAAAUACCCCAUAUAUAAUAAGCAACAACGUAUCAAAAUACACCAAAUAAUGGGAAUUGGAGAACGCCCAUUUAUACAAACAAAUAUAAGUGGGCAAAAUCAAUACUCAUAAUAAAGACACAAAGACGAUUAAAAGCCUUAUUAAACUAGAUCCAGUAUGCAGCAUAACAGAAAAUGGGGUAUUUCAAGGAGUAGAGCGAGAAGGUGGUGGAGAAAAGAAAGGAAUAGAGGGAACUGCAGUUGGGAUUGAGGGAAUGCUUGGCAGAGGCGGCAGUCCUCUUGGCAAUGUGGUAGGAAGUGGAGGAAGCGCCCCAGGGUUUGGGAGAUAAGGGAAAGAUGGCAAUGGUGGAAAAGAGAAAGGAAUAGGGGGAACUGCAGUUGGGAUUGUGGGGACUGAGGGAAUGCUUGGCAGGGGGGGUAGUCCUGUUGGCAAUGUGGUAGGAAGUGGAGGAAGCGCCCCAGGCCAUGGGAAUGAUUGUCGGGAUGGAGUUGGGAGAUUAGGGAAAGAUGGUAAACUUUGCGGUUGAGGCUGCUGCAGAAGGUGACGAGCUGCUACCCCAACAUCAAUGCUUGCAAAUGACAAAGCAAUCAAGAAUGCUAAAGCAAGGCAAUUGAAAGAGGCCAUUUUUGUUGAGAGAUUUCGAAACAAAUGAAGCAGAUGAAACAAAGUUCUUUAUCUAAAUAGUUG
rnacentral:lncRNA from 1 species